rnacentral:rRNA from 1 species
UGGGUCUCGCUCGUUACCUGACUUAACAGGAUGCUUCACAGUACGAACUGGCGACGGCCAUGCACCUCCUCUCAGCGAUUCAGGUAAGGUCUUUAGCCUGACCUACAUAUUGCUGUCGCCCCCGGUGAGUUUUCCGGCGUUGAGUCCAAUUAAACCGCAGGCUCCACCCGUUGUUGUGCUCCCCCGCCAAUUCCUUUAAGUUUCAGCCUUGCGGCCGUACUUCCCAGGUGGCUCGCUUCACGGCUUCCCUGCGGCACCAAACACGGUCUCACCGUGCCUGACACCUAGCGAGCAUAGUUUACAGCUGGGACUACCCGGGUAUCUAAUCCGGUUCGUGCCCCCAGCUUUCGUCCCUCACCGUCGAACCCGUUCUGGUAAGACGCCUUCGCCACAGGUAGUCCUACAGGGAUUACAAGAUUUCACUCCUACCCCUGUAGUACCUCUUACCUCACCCGGUUCCAAGUCUGGCAGUAUCCACCGAUAGACUACCAGUUAAGCUGGCAGAUUUCCCGGAAGACUGACCAAACAGGCUACGGACCCUUUAGACCCAAUAAUAACGAUCACCACUCGGGCCGCCGGUGUUACCGCGGCGGCUGGCACCGGUCUUGCCCGGCCCUUGCUAACAGGUGCAAGUUAAGCACCUGGACAGCCAGCAAUUCUUGCUAGCACUCGGUGUCCCCUUAUCACGGUGACCCGCAUUGUAAAGAUUUCGCGCCUGCUGCGCCCCGUAGGGCCUGGAUUAUUGUCUCAGAAUCCAUCUCCGGGCUCUUGCUCUCACACCCGUACCCGUCGUAGGCUAGCAGGUACAUUACACCCGCUACUAC